GACGAACGCUGGCGGCGUGCUUAACGCAUGCAAGUCGAACGGAAAGGCCUCUUUCGGGGGGUACUCGAGUGGCGAACGGGUGAGUAACACGUGAGUAACCUGCCCUUGACUUUGGGAUAACUUCAGGAAACUGGGGCUAAUACCGGAUAGGAGCUCCUGCUGCAUGGUGGGGGUUGGAAAGUUUCGGCGGUUGGGGAUGGACUCGCGGCUUAUCAGCUUGUUGGUGGGGUAGUGGCUUACCAAGGCUUUGACGGGUAGCCGGCCUGAGAGGGUGACCGGCCACAUUGGGACUGAGAGACGGCCCAGACUCCUACGGGAGGCAGCAGUGGGGAAUAUUGCACAAUGGGUGGAAGCCUGAUGCAGCAACGCCGUGUGCGGGAUGACGGCCUUCGGGUUGUAAACCGCUUUCGCUCAUGACGAAGCUUUGUGUGACGGUAGUGGGUAAAGAAGCACCGGCUAACUACGUG
rnacentral:rRNA from 1 species